AUGGACACGAGGCUGCGGCUCCCAUCUGUCGCUGUAAACAGCGGGGCCCGCGUCAUGCGGCUCUGGGACGGUCCCAGUGAGUCAGCGAGAUGUGAAGUGUCAUUCCUCACCCGGCACAGUUUGAGGGCUGAGAAUCCAGCAGGGCACGGGACGGGGUGUGUGCGCAUGGAGCUGACCGGAGCGGGUGCCGCUCGAGCCGGGCACAGACGCCAGAAAUACGUCGCUUGCGGGUGUUCUCGUCGGCCCUCCCUCUCCGGCUGGGGACGUGGUGGCCGCCGGCCUGGAGCGGAGUCCACACGGCCCCCAGGCGAGGGGCAGGGGCAGCACAGACCUGACGCGGAGGGGCAGGGAGAAGCGCCCGGGGCCUGCAGCCUGCCUGUCUGGACACGCGUGUGGGCUAAGCAGGUGACCUCUAGCCGGUCAGUCCCUGGAGCCACGACACCGGGGCGUCCGAGGGCGAUGCCGCGGAAAGCCAAGCACCCUGUUCCCAGGGCCUGGGCGAUUUGGAAAUUCUGAUGUGGGGACACAGGAUGCAGAGGAAGAGACUUGAGUGGCCAGCACCCAGCCCCGGGGAAAGCUGGUUCGGGAAGAGCACACACCCCACGCCCGCCUCACCCCACACGCUGCACCAGAGUUUCUCCGCUGGUCCUGGUAUGAGCCCUGCUGGGGGAGGGUCCGCGCCUGCGGCCGUGGAUGGGGGCUGCGCUCUGUUGUCUCAGAGAGGGGUGCCGGUCACACUUCUCGCUGGGGAUCUGCUGGGGCCUCUGCUUCCUCACGUUGUCACCUGGGCUGCCAGUCCCCAGACCAGAAACCUGCCCGUCUGAAGGUGACCACCGCUGCCUCCCUUGGGUUUCACUUGCCCGAGUCCCUCCCCGGGACGCCCCGCAUCUCUGACGCCUGCUCCCAUGGGGGCUGCCUCCCUUGGGUUUCACUUGCCCGAGUCCCUCCCCGGGACGCCCCGCAUCUCUGACGCCUGCUCCCAUGGGGGCUGCCUCCUCUUGGACUGAGACGGGUCUGACCUCCAUCCCGGGAAACGCACUGAUUUGGAGCAUUAUUUGGCCCACAGGCCUAUGAACCGUUCUGGCCCUGGGUCGUGAGGGAUGCUCUCCCCACUGUGGUGUGACCGUCCAGCCUUCUGCAUCUCCCGGUUUCUGUUUGGGCCACGGGAGGACCAGCCGUGUCCCCUCUGGUGUCAGGCUGUGGUGGCACGGCACAAACAGGGGUCUCCACCAGAGACCAUUGUCACCGAAGGGGCCUCUUUUUCCCCCCUAAUCUUUAAUCCAUUGUGAUUUCAAUAUCAAAGGAGAAAAAGUCUAUUUCAAACGACCACAAAGUACAAAAAUGAAUCUGUCCCAUCUGAAAAGUCGGUGCGGACCCAAAGGUAUCUCUGGCGAGAUUCCACUUGAAGGAAACCUCCAGAGUAGGUAACGGAACACGGAGAGAAAGCAGACUGGGGGUUCCCAGGGGCUGGCGGGGGCACGAAUGGGGAGUGAGGGCUCCGGGUACACGGUGACCCUUGGGGACCGAGAUAUUCUGCAGCAAAAUUCUGUGCCAUGGUUCACAGUGUCGUGAGCAUACCCCGUGCUCAGGAAUUGCACAACGUAAAAUAAAUAAAUUUUUAUUGAAGAUUAAUGUGGAUUU
ensembl:lncRNA